rnacentral:rRNA from 1 species
GACGGGGGCCCGCACAAGCGGAGGAACAUGUGGUUUAAUUCGAUGAUACGCGAGGAACCUUACCCGGGCUUGAACUGCAGGAGAACGAUCCAGAGAUGGUGAGGCCCUUCGGGGCUCCUGUGGAGGUGCUGCAUGGUUGUCGUCAGCUCGUGCCGUGAGGUGUCGGCUUAAGUGCCAUAACGAGCGCAACCCCUCUCCGUAGUUGCCAUCAGUUUAAGCUGGGCACUCUGCGGACACUGCCACCGUAAGGUGUGAGGAAGGUGGGGAUGACGUCAAAUCAGCACGGCCCUUACGUCCGGGGCUACACACGUGUUACAAUGGGUGGUACAGAGUGUCGGCCGCACGCAAGUUCGGUCCAAUCAUGAAAUCCAUCCUCAGUUCGGAUUGGGGUCUGCAACCCGACCCCAUGAAGCUGGAUUCGCUAGUAAUCGCGCAUCAGCCAUGGCGCGGUGAAUACGUUCCCGGGCCUUGUACACACCGCCCGUCAAGCCAUGAAAGCCGGGGGCGCCUGAAGUCCGUGACCGCAAGGGUCGGCCUAGGGUGAAACCGGUGAUUGGGGCUAAGUCGUAACAAGGGUAGGCCGUACCGGAA